rnacentral:rRNA from 1 species
GGCCAGACUCCUACGGGAGGCAGCAGUGGGGAAUAUUGGGCAAUGGACGCAAGUCUGACCCAGCAACGCCGCGUGAAGGAAGAAGGCUUUCGGGUUGUAAACUUCUUUUAAGGGGGAAGAGCAGAAGACGGUACCCCUUGAAUAAGCCACGGCUAACUACGUGCCAGCAGCCGCGGUAAUACGUAGGUGGCAAGCGUUGUCCGGAUUUACUGGGUGUAAAGGGAGCGUAGACGGCAUGGCAAGUCUGAUGUGAAAACCCGGGGCCCAACCCCGGGACUGCCCUUGGAACUGUGCGGCUAGAGUGCGGGAGGGGCAGGCGGAAUUCCUGGUGUAGCGGUGAAAUGCGUAGAUAUCAGGAGGAACACCGGCGGCGAAGGCGGCCUGCUGGACCGCGACUGACGUUGAGGCUCGAAAGCGUGGGGAGCGAACAGGAUUAGAUACCCUAGUA